AGAGUUUGAUCCUGGCUCAGAACGAACGCUGGCGGUAUGCUUAACACAUGCAAGUCGAACGCGAAAGUCUCUUGGGAGGCGAGUAGGGUGGAGCACGGGUGAGGAACACGUAGAUAACCUGCCCCUUAGUCUGGGACAACCUUCUUAAAAGACCUUCUGAAAAGAGGGCUAAUACCGGAUAAUACUUUUAGCCAUACGGUUUUAAGUUAAAAGAUUUAUCGCUGGGGGGUGGGUCUGCGCACCAUUAGCUUGUUGGUGAGGUAACGGCUCACCAAGGCGACGAUGGUUGGCGGGUCUGAGAGGAUGGUCCGCCACACUGGAACUGAGACACGGUCCAGACUCCUACGGGAGGCAGCAGUGGGGAAUUUUGCGCAAUGGGCUAAGGCCUGACGCAGCAAUACCGCGUGAGUGAAGAAGGCCCUUGGGUCGUAAAGCUCUUUUUUCAGUAAAGUUCUUUUAAUAGGGAAGAUAAUGACGGUACCUAUAGAAAAAGCCCCGGCUAACUCCGUGCCAGCAGCCGCGGUAAGACGGAGGGGGCUAGCGUUGUUCGGAUUUACUGGGCGUAAAGGGCGCGUAGGCGGAUUAGUAAGUUGGGAGUGAAAGCCCGGGGCUCAACCUCGGAACUGCUUUCAAAACUGCUAGUCUUGAGUGAAGUAGGGGGUGAUGGAAUUCCUAGUGUAGAGGUGAAAUUCUUAGAUAUUAGGAGGAACACCGGUGGCGAAGGCGGUCACCUGGACUUCAACUGACGCUGAGGCGCGAAAGCGUGGGGAGCAAACAGGAUUAGAUACCCUGGUAGUCCACGCCGUAAACGAUGAGUGCUAGAUAUCGGGAAAUUUAUUUUUCGGUUUCGCAGCUAACGCAUUAAGCACUCCGCCUGGGGACUACGAUCGCAAGAUUAAAACUCAAAGGAAUUGACGGGGGCUCGCACAAGUGGUGGAGCAUGCGGUUUAAUUCGAUGCUACGCGAAAAACCUUACCAACCCUUGACAUGGUGGUCGCAGAACACAGAGAUGAGUUCUUUCAGUUAGGCUGGACCACACACAGGUGUUGCAUGGCUGUCGUCAGCUCGUGUCGUGAGAUGUUGGGUUAAGUCCCGCAACGAGCGAAACCCUCAUCCUUAUUUGCCAGCGAGUAAUGUCGGGGACUAUAAGGAAACUGCCGGUGAUAAGCCGGAGGAAGGUGGGGAUGAUGUCAAGUCAUCAUGGCCCUUAUGGGUUGGGCUACACGCGUGCUACAAUGGUAUCUACAGAGGGAAGCAAUAUGGCGACAUGGAGCAAAUCCUCAAAAGAUAUCUCAGUUCGGAUUGGUCUCUGCAACUCGAGACCAUGAAGUCGGAAUCACUAGUAAUCGCGGAUCAGCAUGCCGCGGUGAAUACGUUCUCGGGCCUUGUACACACUGCCCGUCACGCCAUGGGAGUGGGUUCGACCUGAAGGCGGCUAGCUAACUAGCAAUAGAGACAGCCAACCACGGUAAAAUUAGCGACUGGGGUGAAGUCGUAACAAGGUAACC
rnacentral:rRNA from 1 species